AAUCAAAAUUUAAUCUUUUUAAUCUUAAUCUAUAAUUUCCUAAACACAUAUCUUUAAUCUUUAAUCAAAUUCUAUAUCUUAAAUCUAAACUUCAAAUGUAAACUAAACAUUCAAUACUCUAAAUAUAAACUUCAAAUCUAAAUUAUUAAAUAUUUAACUACAAAUCGUCUAGUAUUCAAAUCUAUUAUUUUCGAAUCUUAAUCCAAAACACUAAAUUUUAACCGUAAACCUCCUAUUCCAACAUCAACACCUUAAAUCAUAAAACUAAAUUUACUCUUAAUCAUAAAUUAUAAAUUUAAAACUUUUCAAAUUUUGAAUCAAACAUACAAAAUUUAUAAACAAAUUAUAAAUCAGAUUUUUUAUAAACAUGCAAAUUUAAAAAUGAUGACCAAAAUCAUAAUGUUGAUAUUAAUCUAAUAUUUUCAUACUUAAACAUCAAUUCGUAAAAUAAAUAUCAGUUUAUUAGGUUCAAAAAAUAAAAAAAAAAUAGACUUAAAUUAUAAACUACAAAUAUUAAUUUUAAAAUAAGAUAUAACUAAUAAAAAUCACUUACAAAACAAAUUAUCAAAUAUGGAAAGACAAAAUAUAAAUAAAAAUAGAAAAGCAAAAACAAAAUUGUCUGGCCAAUCAGAUUAAAAUACAUGGAUCACACUUUUGAACCGUUAGAUUAACUUAGAUCUGAAGGUUAAGAUUUAUUCCUUUUAAUUUUAAUUUUAAUUUUAAUUUUCUCCUCUCCCUCUCUCUCUCACAAACUCCACGACACAGAUCUGGUCUUCAUGUUCUUCUCCUUCAUUCUCAUCUCUCCCAUCCCUCUCCAAGCUUACUGUUUCUCUAAUCUCUCCUAUCUCUCUCCACGCCUCUCUCAUCUCUCCCAUCUCUCUCCCACCGCGUCUCCUCCUCGUCUCACCACCACCAGGGUCGCCCUCUCACCACCACCACGGUCGCCCUCCCACCACCACCACGGUCGCACUCCCACCACCACCACGAUAGUUGGGGAGGCAAGGUUCAUGGUAGCUGGAGGAGGCAAGGUCCAUGGCGGCUUGAGGACGGAAGUCUCGUGGCGGCUGGAGGAGGCAAGGCUCAUGGUUGUUGGAAGAGGGGCAAGGUUAUGGAGGAGGCGGCUGCAGUCUAUUUUUGUUUUUUUUAGGUUUAGAUUUGGUUCAGUGUAACCCAGGUUAGAAAAAUUUUAGUGGUCUGAGUUAUGUUAUAAUUUCUGGUCAGUUUUGUAAACCGGGAUUAAUUUGUAAACCAAUUUUAAUAUAUAAAUAAAAUUUAUUUUAAUUUCA